rnacentral:rRNA from 1 species
GAUGAACGCUAGCGGCAGGCCUAAUACAUGCAAGUCGAACGGUGUCUUCGGACAUAGUGGCGCACGGGUGCGUAACACGUAUGCAACCUACCUUACAUUGGGGGAUAGCCUUUCGAAAGGGAGAUUAAUACCGCAUAAGACAGUAGCUGGGCAUCCAGCAGCUGUUAAAGAUUUAUCGAUGUAAGCUGGGCAUGCGUCCAAUUAGCUAUUUGGUGAGGUAACGGCACACCAAGGCAAUGAUUGGUAGGGGAACUGAGAUGUCAAUCCCCCACACUGGCACUGAGAUACGGGCCAGGCUCCUACGGGAGGCAGCAGUAGGGAAUAUUGGGCAAUGGACGCAAGUCUGACCCAGCCAUGCCGCGUGCAGGAUGAAGGCGUUAUGCGUUGUAAACUGCUUUUAUACAGGAAGAAACGACUCUUGCGAGAGGCAUUGACGGUACUGUAUGAAUAAGCACCGGCUAACUCCGUGCCAGCAGCCGCCGUAACAC